rnacentral:rRNA from 1 species
AUGCUGCUGGUAGUGGAGCCCGUGUUUCCCAGAAACUGCGGGGAGGCUAGCUCGCAAUACCCACGACCAAAUUUUCUUUUCCUCGCUAACAUAAAAAAAAUUUGUCUUGCCAGCCGUGCUGGGAAUUGUUUUUUUCUUUUGGUGGGUCAACCGAGCGGAUACGAAGGGAGUCCGGCUCGGUGGGCUGUUCGACCGAGAGAGAGCUGGAACAGGGGCUCCAAGAGGAGGAAGCAAGCAAGGGGAGGAGGCGGCUGCGCCAUUUGCUCUGCUUGCUUCUCUGCACUUACGCAGCUGCUGGGGUUUAGGUCCAAGCCAAAGGGAAGCAGCCGCCGUUUGAGGCGCCCUGACUUCCCUUCAUCUUCUCCAGCAGCCUGUGCUAGACAAGGGGAGAUACCCCACAGUUCCGCACCUGCUGCUCCUUGCGCCCCAUGCCGACCUCUCCUCCACCCGCGAUGCAUGCACCGGCUAGAGCUCAGGCCUCGAUGCUCCCUCCGCCGCUAG